rnacentral:lncRNA from 1 species
CACGUGACCCUUCUGCGACGAGCUUAAGGAAGGAAGCCGCGGGAGGAGGCUCUCAGAGCAGAGAGAAAGAAAAGUUGUGUCAAGCAGAACUUUUUCUCAUUAAUAACACUGAGACCAUUCUUAAACUCCACCUUCUCUGGCGACACUACACACGGCUAUACUUCAUCUUCUCUCCACAUCCCUAAAGAAAUGAGAGACUCAGAAAGACACCCUGAGGUCUUAGAAUUUGCUUCCUACUGAUCAUGAACCAUCCUAAGGCUUGCUACAUCAUCUGCAAGAUGCAGGUCCUCAUGUGGCCCACCAGAGGGAACUGCAGACACAAGUAAACUGAAGAUGUCGGUGUUCACAAGACCCGUGCGUGAUGCUGGAGAUGGAACCUAACUCUGCACAAAUGUCAGUCAAAUGCUUGGACACUGAACUUACAUAGUUCCUCAGCUCUUCAGGAUCAGUUUGUAUUAAACGAAAUUGAGGCCCGAGCUGCUGCGGGUCAGAAAUACCAGCUCGGCUGUAUGGCGAUCUCACUCUGGUUGAGUGUUCUUUCUCGAAGCCUCAGUUCCAGGCAUUCCACGGUCUCUGUGACUGCUCCUCUCCAAACCAUUUCCCUCCAUAUUCUGAAGCCACCAUCUUGGCCCACGCUGCUUCUGUCUUACUGUCUGGACAGCGCUUAAAGGGAGGCUCCUCUUGUAAUGUGGGCGUCGGGAAGAUUCUGUUAAUACAUGGAAGGAGAGGUUCUACUCCAUUGAGACCGUCUACCACUGUCAUUUACGACUCCCUGCCCUGGUCACUCUGCUCUUCUGGACUCUUCCUCGCCCUACUUUAACCCUGGAUCAACCACUUCAGACACACCAUCUCCCCUGCCAGUCCCAAGCACAGCAGGCUGGCUCUCUCUGAUAGUCCCCAGAGGUUCGAACUUCUCCUGUAACCCUCUUCUCUCCCAGAGACACACAGCCCAGCCCCGGUCGACACCUCAAGGUCAUGUUCUCAGAAAGACCUAUGUAAUGGCUAUUCCUGUUUGUCAACUUGACUCUAUCUGGAAUGACCUACAAUCCAGAAUUGGAGGGCUCACCUGUGAUCCAGAUCUUGAGGCUGGAAGACACAAGUUUCUGACCUCAAUCUUAGCAUGGAGAUCUUGAGGCACAGUGGCCAUGAAAAGCUUAGGUCCAGGCAAGGUUGUAUAUGUCUUUAAUCUCAGGAGACUUGAGACAAGGAGAUCUCUGAGUUUAAGGUCAGCCUGGGACAAAAGCAAGUCCCAGAUCCAGGCAUGGUGGUAACACACCUUUAAUCUGGGCCACACCUUCUGCUGGAGGCCUACAUAAAGACAUUGGAAGGAGGAAGAUUCCCUCUUCUUUGCACUUAGCUGCCAGCACAUCUGUUGGAACCUUCUUCUACAGAUGACCAGCUGAAACAACUAGCUGGUGGGACUGAGAACUACAAGAUUCUUGGACUUCCCAUUCACAGCUGAGCAUUGUGGGACUACAGACUGUAAGUCCUCACAAUACAUCCCCUUCAUAUAGAGAGACAUUCCCUAAGCACUGUGACCUAGAGAACCCUGACUAAUGCAGCCUACCCAACUGCCCUCCCUCCCUCACUUGUGUUUUAGGAUUUAUUGUCAAUUGACGAGUGUGCAUGUGUGUAUAUGUACACGUGUAAACACACACAGAGCGCAUGCAUAGAUGUAUGCAUCAUAUAGAUAACAUACACAUAAAUAUUAUACAAUUAUAGAUAAUCUUUACAAAGUUAUAGUUUCAUUUAUGCAUUAAUUUUUGUUUCAUAAAUACAUAUUAAAAUGUGUAAGGCUAUACAU